CAGCAGCCACGGUAAUGCGUAGGUGGCAAGCGUUGUCCGGAAUUAUUGGGCGUAAAGGGCUCGCAGGCGGUUUCUUAAGUCUGAUGUGAAAGCCCCCGGCUCAACCGGGGAGGGUCAUUGGAAACUGGGAAACUUGAGUGCAGAAGAGGAGAGUGGAAUUCCACGUGUAGCGGUGAAAUGCGUAGAGAUGUGGAGGAACACCAGUGGCGAAGGCGACUCUCUGGUCUGUAACUGACGCUGAGGAGCGAAAGCGUGGGGAGCGAACAGGAUUAGAUACCCCGUAGUCCCUGUCUCUUAUACA
rnacentral:rRNA from 1 species